rnacentral:rRNA from 1 species
AGUGAACGCUGGCGGUAGGCCUAACACAUGCAAGUCGAACGACAGCACAGUAAGAGCUUGCUCUUAAGGGUGGCGAGUGGCGGACGGGUGAGGAAUACAUCGGCAUCUACUUUUUCGUGGGGGAUAACGUAGGGAAACUUACGCUAAUACCGCAUACGACCUACGGGUGAAAGCAGUGGAUCUUCGGACCUUGCGCGAUUGAUUGAGCCGAUGUCGGAUUAGCUAGUUGGCGGGGUAAAGGCACACCAAGGCGACGAUACGUAGCUGAUCUGAGAGGAUGAUCAGCCACACUGGAACUGAGACACGGUCCAGACUCCUACGGGAGGCAGCAGUGGGGAAUAUUCGACAAUGGGCGCAAGCCUGACCCAGCCAUACCGCGUGGGUGAAGAAGGUCUUCGGAUUGUAAAGCCCUGUUGUUGGGAAAGAAAAGCAGCAGGUUAAUACCCCGCUGUUCUGACGGUACCCAAAGAAUAAGCACCGGCUAACUUCGUG